UCUUUUCAAGAUGCAUGUAUCAUGUAUGCUCAGUAAUUUUGAUCUAACAACUUAUAAUGUGCACUAAAGAUAUCUGCAUUUAUUUAUUAUUUGCAAGAUCUGGCACCUGCAUUAUUAAUAUGCUGAAGCACAAUAUUUGUAUUCUGAAUUUCAAACAUUCGAGCACAUUCUCAACUUUCUCUUUUUUUUGUUUUUAUAAAUGCUUGAAGCAGGCAAUACGAUACAUAGAGGAAAUGGAUAGUACACUCCGAUCUGAAGCCUGCCAAUUUUGUGCUUAUAAAUGCAUCCGUGUAUUUCUGAAUGUGAGAAUGUGAAGCAACUUUGGGCAGUUUUCUAAAUUUUACAAUCAAUGUGAUUCCCAGAUGCAGGCUUCUUUUUCUACAUGAAUAAUAAUUUAAUUAAUCAUACUUGAUCUGCUUUACAUGCUACAGGUAAUGCUCUGAACUUAUGGCAUUACUACUAAAUUAAUUCUCUUUGCUAUGUCUCUCUUAUGUACUCUACUAUAACUUGUUCUAAUUUACAGUAGAAUGAUCAGUGUUAAGAAAGAC